UUAAGCGACUCACGAUAAACCGUAAUCUGCUUGUCGUGUAUGACAGCGGAUUUUAAACAGGCAUGUCAAAAUUUUGCGAGAAUUUUAAUCGUCGUGCGGAUCCUUAUUUUCAUCAGACUUCAACGCAUGGCUUCAGUGAAAGUGCCUGAACAAAAGGUUAUACUUUGUGGAGAGUAUGGUGUUGGCAAAAGUUCUCUUUUCCGUCGGUACUCCACAAAUACCUUUGUGACUGCAACAGAUAGGCAGUCAACUUUGGGUCUUGAUCAUUUUGACAGGGAAUAUAAAGUAUCUGGAAAACACAUAAAACUACAGUUAUGGGAUACUGGAGGUAUGGAACGUGUUGCAUCAAUCACGUCCAGUUAUUAUAAAUUUGCAGAGGCAGCCAUACUAGUAUUUGCUCUAGAUAAUGCUGCUUCAUUUCAUGUUUUGUCCCAGCAUCUCCUGGAUAUAGUGACAUAUGCAGAAAAUGCAAAGAUAUUCCUGUGUGGCAAUAAAUCAGAUUUGGAAGGUCACACUCCACAAGUUACUGAAAGUGAUAUGGAAAGUUUUUGUGAGCAGUGUCAUAAUCUAAUCAGUGCUACAUACAAAACUUCAUGCAAGACUGGUGAAGGAGUAGAAGAAAUGUUUGCUGAUAUUGCACAUCACUUAGUGCAGGCAAAUAGGUCACGUUUAGAAUUACAGACAAUGGACCAAGAAUCUUUUAAAAUCUCAGCCCCAGAUGAAGCUACAGAACCAUCAUGUUUGUGUUAACAUAUUUUUGCAUGGUUGUGCUCCGUGAACUGAACUGUGAAACACAGUGAAGAUCUCUCUUUAUAUAUCAAGGGAGUUUACUCAUUUAAUUACUGUCUUCCUAGACAUUGUGCUUAUCAGGCUAGUGAGAACAAUGCUGUUAAGAACUGAGUGCAUGAGAUGCAUUUUGAUAAACUACUGAAGUUGAAAUGUGAAUAGACUUGAGCUUCACAGAGUUAUUCUUGAUUGUGUUUUCACAUUCUUCUCUUUCUCCAGCAUCCCUAAGUUCUGUGUGAUUCAUUCAUUCAUUCUUUCUUUUCUUCCUGUAUGUUUUGAUCAAUUAAGAAAUGAAAAUCUAAUAGGCUACAUUGUCUACAUUUUGUUGAUCUUCCUUUGUGUUUCCAUUCCGCACUGUAUAAAUAUCAUGCGUUGUUAUUAAUUGUCAUUUCUAACUUAAUUAGGUAGACGAGACCUAUGAAUCUCAAACGUGUGAGUAAGGGACAUAAGUCCUGCAUAGUUUGCAAGUAUUAUGUACUACCAUUUCUUAAGAUUUAAAUUUGGGGCUUAAAUUGUUUUUGUUACUACACAAAACAUUGUCACUAAGCUGACAAAACAGAACUAUAAGCGGUAGAGUAGAAAUAAUAAUGGAGAACUAGAUUUAGAUUGUCAGGGCAUUCUCCUUUCAGGUUGGGCAUAGGUAUGAAUAAAAUUAUCUAAAUUAAACAUACAUUGUAAACAAAUGAAAGCAACAAACUACAUUAUAAUUGAUACAGAAUUGCUGGACAGAAUUUCCUUGCCGAAUAUGAGAUAUUUAGCAACUCCAGUAAACUUGUUUAAAAGUAUAUGACACUGUCAUAGCUUUCAAAGCUAUUAGUUUCUCAAAGGAACACUGGAAAAUACUGAAUACUAGCAUGUUACCUUGUAUAAUGAAACAAAAUUUUUAGAAUUUUCAGGGUCACUUCAGUCGUCUCAGCGUUACCUUAAAUGGGUGCUAGAGUUUAAAGUAACUAAUUUUCAGGAAUUAUGAAAGGCUUCGACAAAUCUUUAUUACAUACUUACUGCACUGCAUGAAAUGUGCAAACUACACUUGUUAGUAAUAUGACACUUCAGUUUUACAGUGGUGGUACCCAUGUGCAAUUAGGGCUAAUCAGUUAACAGAAGUGGAUCCCAGUCUUCCUGGGGGUGACAGUGACCUGUAAUCCUUAUUUAACUUUCCCUAACAUCUGUCCCUUUAGCUAGAGGAGGGAAGUAAUAUUUCCAAGUGCUGGAGUAGUGUCGUAUUUUUUUGUGUGUUUGUUGGCAGUACUAAAUUUUUCAUUUCCCAGAGGUAAGUACUGGCCAGAGAUUACAUCCUAUAAUUUUAUAGUUUUCUGGAAUGGAUUUUCCUUUUGAUACAAACUGCUCUAUGACAGAUAGGGGGAGGGGGGAGGAAGAUUCUUAAUCAUAACACUAACUGGACAAAUAAGAGUGCCGAGAACAUGACAUCCUGCUGCAAAUUUUUCUAAAGCAUGUUUUGCGACUUUGGGUUUUUAAGAGCAAGCAAAUGUUGCCAUUAAUAACACAGAACAGACUUAAAUGGCAACACAUUUUGUUUUGUAAAUUUGAAUGAUUUUGCGAUUUCAUAGUUUUAGAUUCCAAAGGGUGUCUAAAAACUAAACUAUGAAUUGUAUGCAAUUUUAGCAAAUAGUCCUAUAGCUAUACUGUGUUUCUUGUUAUAGUUUCUGAUAGAUAAAAAGUACCACUAACAGUCUGAUUUGCUAAACUGUGGGGAUCUUCUGAAAUCAAAAUCACUUAUGUUCUUUAUAGGUUUGGAGUUACAUUAAUACUGUGCAUCUUUAAAUAUUAAUUGUCUAGUGCAAACACAUCCUGUUCUUUGCAUGUGUAUAGGACACCCAGUUGUUAUAAAAUACUCAAAUUAUCACAGUCACCUUCUUGCCUUAGAUCUGUGCUGAGGUAAGACAUUGGACUUGUAUUUAUGAAGAUUAUGGUUCAAAUCCAGCCAUCCAUAUCUAAAUUUAUCAUUGUUUCCCUAAAUUGCUCAAGCAAAAUCUGGGAGUGAUUGCUUUGAAAAGGAUGUGGCUGAUUUGCUUCCCCAUUCUCCCACAGUCUGUGCUUACGCUAUGCCUCUAAUGACCUCUUUGUCAACUAGACAUUAAACCUCAAUCUUUCUUUCUGCUUUAGAUAACUAGCACCAUGUGGCUACUACUGAUACAGAAAAAGUGGUGUGUAAAACUAGUUGUCUGUGGAAUCUCUCUUUUUGUGUAUUGUUCGCAGAUAAAAGUAAGAAAUGAAAAUUAAUAAUAUUUGAUACACAGUAGAAGUGUCUAAUUAUCAGCUGCUGAAAUGGGAGCAAUGCAGUAAUAUUUGAAUGGGGAUAUAGUGAAAAAUCUCAACAAAAAAGAAGUAGCCUCCACCUCCACUCCCAAAAGAAAAGAAGAAUAAUUAGUUAGGUGAUUGUUACAGCACACAACUUAGUAAUUGUACACUGGCUGAGACAUGAAAAAUAAAUGUCCUGUGGCAUACAAAAACCACUGCUAGGUAAAAUAACUUAAGAGGGAAUAUGACAUAUGUCAGGUAAGGUGGUAGAGCUGAGUACCAUUACAGUUUUGGGCUAGUUGUGACAGAUUAGCUAUGUCACAAAAUAGAAAAAUAAGUACCACUUUUCACACAGCUGUACUAGAUAAUAUCAGUAAAAUAAAUCUUCAACAGUGGUGCUAAUUAUUAUGAUAUGAACUGUUUGACUGUAUUAAACAACUAGGGAAUGACUUGAUCUUAAAAUUAUUAUGGAGGGACAAGUCUAGUAUAGUUGGCACUGAAAGCCAUUGCAAGCAUGUUUAACAAUAACGGGUCUGCCUCUUGGUGACAAUGAUUUCUUAUGGAGGGGUACACGGAUAUAAUUAUCCUCUUAUGUUCACGGUGAUGUUUAUUUACCGUAAAUCCUACUUUGACAGUAUACAAGUCUGUACCAAGACAAAGUUGACAAAGUGAGCGCAUGGUGUGAAAGCUUAUCCCAUGUUGAUAUACCUAAUUAGAGCUUUAACACUGAAAAUAUAACACUGUUACUGAUUCGCUAGGAUGUUUUGUAGCCUUGUGAAACUCUUGGGCCCAUUAUCAUGUAUGGUCUGGCGGGAUGGCUUUCAAAAUUAUUGCAAUGACUCCUUUUUCAUCUUGUGUGUAGGCAAUCCCCAACUUAAAGCUGUUUUUUAAACUGGGAACAUAAUCUUUCAUGAGAUAGAAUGUGCAUAUUUGGGCAAAGUAAGGAAGGAAAGAAAGAAAGCUGAAUACAUCAAUAAGUAUAACAGACUGUUAGUGAAAAUUAUCAAUAAUGUAGCAGUAGCACUGCAUUUUUCAAAAUGUUGGUAACUGACUUCCCACACUGAGCACAUGUCAAGAAACAGGUAAGAGCCAUUGGAAAUUGUGUAACCAUCAGAUAAGAUUCUUUGUCACUUAUUGAAAUUUAAACUAUGAUUGAAUGGAUUUUCUUGCUAGACUCUGUGUUUAGCCAUCUAUGGCAGACGUCUUCAGGGUGCAUGAGACUGAUGUGAAAUUUUGUGCUGAGGAAGAACUGGUGGGUUGACCUUGAGAAUUCAUUUAGCCACAGCUAAAUAACUGAGAAAAUUUUAAUAACUGUAACAUUUAUGAUAGUAAAAGCCUAUUUUUUUUUCAAGAUUUUUAUUACAUCACUUAUUUACACACAUCCAACCCUUUCUCUCCCACCAUCCACAUCAGUCAUUGUAUCUUUGUCAUGUUGGUUGAUAAUUUCAUAUACAUUCUAUUUUAUUUUUCUUGUUGCCCUACUAAAAUAAAAAUCUUAUUUUCAGCCAUUAAAUAUUUUUUGGCUAUUUAUGUAUAGUCUACUGUAAUUUGUGUUGUGAUGACACUCAUAUUUGCAUGUGAACUUAAAUAUGUUUUAAUUAGCAGUCUCUUGAGUACUGGAAUGUAUUCAGUUCAGAUAGAGGUGAAGAAAUGUAUAAGUCUCAGUUGUUGGCUGUUGAAAUAUAGUAGGGGAAGGAGGAGGAGUUUUAUUGAGAUAUGCUGGUCCAGAUUCAUUAUUGUUGCAUGUCUUUACAUGUAUUAAAAUUAAUUGCUAAAUUCAAUUCCAGAAAAUGAAUGUUCACAUACUGUUGACCAAAUUAUGUGAUUUCAAGAAACUUAUGAGCUUUUGUAAGGUCUGUCAUUUGGAACUCCAUUUUCACUUUUAAGUAAAACUUGAGUACUGAUGCUGUGAUUGGCCUGCAGCAUUUAGUAACUGGUGUGAUCUACUGCAGAUUCCUGUCUUUUGUUCACCUUUUCUGUACUGUUGUUUCAGUGUCAUAAAAAUGUUUCUCAUGUCCCCACAUCUGUUGUAAGACAACAUGUAUUUAAGACUUGGAAGAAAAUACAGUGCUUCAGAAAAUUCCGCCCAUAUUGUAUCAACAAGGUUUUUUAAAUAUGUACUGUUAAUCAUAACUUGUAGAUUUUGGCAUGCAGGAAGGUACAUACUAAGUUCUUUUUUACAGUCAUAAAUUUUGAGUGUGUUUAUUUCAUUGUAUUUUAUUAGUGGUGCUCAUACGAACAGUUUCUGUGUGUGUAUGUGUGUGUCAGAAAGGACUGCACAGUUAGCGCAGAGAAACUGUGCAUUUGUUAAAACAUAUUUACUAAACAAUAUUAAACAGUACUAAUCAUUUUAACUCUUGAGUGGGCGUGCCUUUGUAUAAAGUGCGCUAACAAAACAUAAAAUGAUUUUGCACAAUUCUAUUUUUGUUUCACAACUGCAGACCCAUACCUAUUCCUUCAUUAUUGCUUCAGGCAACACAAUGAUAAUUUGUGUUGUCAUACGUCCAACUGAGCAGCAGUAAUAUAAAAUACAAAGUGAGCUAGGCGGAAAAAAUUUACGAUAUGUGCAAAAAAAGAGAGAGAGAGACCCUGAUUAUGAGCUAGCAGCCUAAUGCCACAUUGAGGCAGUUGUCUAUGAGAUAAUUAGUGAUUGAAUAAAGAGCUGGAUGGGAUCUGAUGCCACAGCACUGCUUAAUGCUUUGAAUGGGUCAUUUACUGUGUCUGUAACACCUGUCCUUGGCAACAGAGUGUUGUACUGAAAAUUAAUUUCAUUAUGGUUUAACCAAACAGUGGUGUAGCUCAUAUUAUGUAAGAUUACUUUCUUGUUGUUUAAAUAACCUAAGGUUAAACUGUGAUUUUGAUCAUACAUGAAUCACCUAGGCAACAUAAAUGAAGCUAUUCUAUACGUGUGUACAAAGUGCACCUCGCACCCGCUUGUGUUAUUAGGAACGGUGCGCCCACUCGAGGGUUAAUAUGAUUUUCUUAUCAUUUGAUAAAGAGCUUAAUUCUAUUUUACAAAUGAUGUUAUUUGUAUGUACAAUAUUACCAUGUAUGACUGUAUUCUUAUUACUAGCAUAAUUAAAAUUCUACUGAUGUAUCAGAAAUAAAUGUUUGUAUUUGUCUCAUAUUAGUAAAAAAAUAUAACAAAUAAA